GUAAAAUGAAGAGUAAAGAUUUUUCUGCAUUGCAGGGAUGCAAUGGUGGUUAAUGGAAAUAAUCCAUUGAAAGAGCUUUGAAAAUUGCCUGGAAUACAAAUGGGGCUGAGGAAACACGAGGCAGUGUUAUCAUCAUCAAUAGUAAACAAGCUUGAACUGAUGACCAAAAUUUCAUUUGCUCUUUCUUUUCAAGUUUCCCAAAGUGAAUAUGCAUCUGCUACUGUGGUCUUCCAGGAUGGUUUUCCUAGGUCACACACUUGGUAAGUCAUACUUUCAUUAGUUCAGUAUGUUUCGGAAGUUUUUUCCAGAUUUCUUCCAGAAAUCAUUGCAGAAAUGUGAAGCUGAAACUUUUGUCUGCUUCAAGUGUGUUCUCGAUUCUUUCUAUUGGCUCAAAGUUUCCGAGAUGUGUUUUAUGGCUCCAAAUACCACCUUGGCUAUCUAG
rnacentral:lncRNA from 1 species